rnacentral:rRNA from 1 species
AUACGUAGGUGGCAAGCGUUGUCCGGAAUUAUUGGGCGUAAAGCGCAUGUAGGCGGUUUGGUAAGUCGGUCGUGAAAAUGCGGUGCUUAACGCCGUAUGGCGAUUGAAACUGCUGAACUUGAGUGCAGGAGAGGAAAGGGGAACUCCCAGUGUAGCGGUGAAAUGCGUAGAUAUUGGGAAGAACACCGGUGGCGAAGGCGCCUUUCUGGACUGUGUCUGACGCUCAGAUGCGAAAGCCAGGGUAGCGAACGGGAUUAGAUACCCCGGUAGUCCUGGCCGUAAACGAUGGGUACUAGGUGUGGGAGGUAUCGACUCCUUCCGUGCCGGAGUUAACGCAAUAAGUACCCCGCCUGGGGAGUACGUUCGCAAGAAUGAAACUCAAAUGAAUUGGCGGGG